rnacentral:rRNA from 1 species
UGGGGGAUAUUGCACAAUGGGCGAAAGCCUGAUGCAGCGACGCCGCGUGGGGGAUGAAGUCUUUCGGGUUGUAAACCUCUUUCGCUAUCGAACAAGGCCCGCUUAGGGUGGGUUGAGGGUAGGUGGAGAAGAAGCGCCGGCUAACUACGUGCCAGCAGCCGCGGUAAUACGUAGGGCGCGAGCGUUGGCCGGAAUUAUUGGGCGUAAAGGGCUUGUAGGCGGCUUGUUGCGCCUGCUGUGAAAACGCGGGGCUUAACUUCGCGCGUGCAGUGGGUACGGGCAGGCUUGAGUGUGGUAGGGGUGACUGGAAUUCCAGGUGUAGCGGUGGAAUGCGCAGAUAUCUGGAGGAACACCGAUGGCGAAGGCAGGUCACUGGGCCAUUACUGACGCUGAGGAGCGAAAGCAUGGGUAGCGAACAGG